rnacentral:rRNA from 1 species
AUGCACGCUGGCGGCGUGCCUAAUCCCUGCAAGUCGGGCGAACAGAUGAGGAGCUUGCUCCUCUGACGUUAGCGGCGGACGGGUGAGUAACACGUGGAUAACCUACCUAUAAGACUGGGAUAACUUCGGGAAACCGGAGCUAAUACCGGAUAAUAUAUUGAACCGCAUGGUUCAAUAGUGAAAGACGGUUUUGCUGUCACUUAUAGAUGGAUCCGCGCCGCAUUAGCUAGUUGGUAAGGUAACGGCUUACCAAGGCAACGAUGCGUAGCCGACCUGAGAGGGUGAUCGGCCACACUGGAACUGAGACACGGUCCAGACUCCUACGGGAGGCAGCAGUAGGGAAUCUUCCGCAAUGGGCGAAAGCCUGACGGAGCAACGCCGCGUGAGUGAUGAAGGUCUUCGGAUCGUAAAACUCUGUUAUUAGGGAAGAACAAAUGUGUAAGUAACUAUGCACGUCUUGACGGUACCUAAUCAGAAAGCCACGGCUAACUACGUG